rnacentral:rRNA from 1 species
UACGUAGGAGGCGAGCGUUGUCCGGAUUUACUGGGCGUAAAGCGCGUGUAGGCGGUUCGAUUAGUCUGCUGUGAAAGCGCUCGGCUUAACCGGGCGAGGUCGGUGGAUACUGUCGGACUUGAGGACGGUAGAGGGGGGUGGAAUUCCCGGUGUAGUGGUGAAAUGCGUAGAUAUCGGGAAGAACACCCGUGGCGAAGGCGGUUCUCUGGGACGGUACUGACGCUGAGACGCGAAAGCGUGGGGAGCGAACAGG